AGAGUUUGAUCCUGGCUCAGAACGAACGCUGGCGGCAGGCUUAACACAUGCAAGUUGAACGGGAACAUACGAUAGCUUGCUAUAGUAUGUGAGAGUGGCGCACGGGUGAGUAAUACAUGGGAACAUACCUUAAAGUGGGGGAUAACUUCUGGAAACGGAUGCUAAUACCGCAUAUACCCUGAGGGGGAAAGAUUUAUCGCUUUAAGAUUGGCCCAUGGCAGAUUAGGUAGUUGGUGGGGUAAAGGCCUACCAAGCCGACGAUCUGUAGCUGGUCUGAGAGGACGAUCAGCCACAUUGGGACUGAGACACGGCCCAGACUCCUACGGGAGGCAGCAGUGAGGAAUAUUGGGCAAUGGGGGCAACCCUGACCCAGCCAUGCCGCGUGAGUGAAGAAGGUUUUCGAAUUGUAAAGCUCUUUCGGGUGUGACGAUGAUGACGGUAGCACCUAAAGAAGCCCCGGCAAACUUCGUGCCAGCAGCCGCGGUAAUACGAAGGGGGCGAGCGUUGUUCGGAAUUACUGGGCGUAAAGGGUGUGUAGGUGGACGUGUAAGAUAGCGGUGAAAUGCCGGAGCUCAACUUCGGAAUUGCCAUUAUAACUAUGCGUCUAGAAUUAUAGAGAGGAUAGCGGAAUACCCAGUGUAGAGGUGAAAUUCGUAGAUAUUGGGUAGAACACCAGUGGCGAAGGCGGCUAUCUGGCUAUAUAUUGACACUGAGGCACGAAAGCAUGGGGAUCAAACAGGAUUAGAUACCCUGGUAGUCCAUGCUGUAAACGAUGAAUGCUGGUUGUCGGCCAUGAGGUCGGUGACGAAGUUAACGCGAUAAGCAUUCCGCCUGGGGAGUACGGCCGCAAGGUUAAAACUCAAAGGAAUUGACGGGGACCCGCACAAGCGGUGGAGCAUGUGGUUUAAUU
rnacentral:rRNA from 1 species